UCUGGGAGUGGUGGCGCACACCUGUAAUCCCAGCAGCUCUGGAGGCUGAGACGGGAGGAUUGAGAGUUUAAAGCCAGCCUCAGCAAUGGCAAGGCGCUAAGCAACUCAGUGAGACCCUGUCUCUA
rnacentral:sRNA from 1 species